CCUACGGGGUGCACCAGUGGGGAAUAUUGGACAAUGGGCGCAAGCCUGAUCCAGCCAUGCCGCGUGAGUGAAGAAGGCCUUAGGGUUGUAAAGCUCUUUCACCGGUGAAGAUAAUGACGGUAUCGGAGAAGAAGCCCCGGCUAACUUCGUGCCAGCAGCCGCGGUAAUACGAAGGGGGCUAGCGUUGUUCGGAAUUACUAGGCGUAAAGCGCGCGUAGGCGGAUAGAUAAGUCAGAGGUGAAAUCCCGGGGCUCAACCCCGGAAUUGCCUUUGAUACUGUUUAUCUUGAGUGCAGAAGAGGUAAGUGGAAUUCCGAGUGUAGAGGUGAAAUUCGUAGAUAUUCGGAGGAACACCAGUGGCGAAGGCGGCUUACUGGUCUGCAACUGACGCUGAGGCGCGAAAGCGUGGGGAGCAAACAGGAUUAGAUACCCCUGUAGUC
rnacentral:rRNA from 1 species